rnacentral:tRNA from 1 species
GCCUUCGUGGUGCAGUGGUCAGCGCGCUCGACGCGUAUUCUAGGAGAUCCGUGGUUCGAGUCCCGGCGAGGGCA